GACGAACGCUGGCGGCGUGCUUAACACAUGCAAGUCGAACGGAAAGGCCCUGCUUUUGUGGGGUGCUCGAGUGGCGAACGGGUGAGUAACACGUGAGUAACCUGCCCUUGACUUUGGGAUAACUUCAGGAAACUGGGGCUAAUACCGGAUAGGAGCUCCUGCUGCAUGGUGGGGGUUGGAAAGUUUCGGCGGUUGGGGAUGGACUCGCGGCUUAUCAGCUUGUUGGUGGGGUAGUGGCUUACCAAGGCUUUGACGGGUAGCCGGCCUGAGAGGGUGACCGGCCACAAUGGGACUGAGAUACGGCGCAGAAUCCUACGGGAGGCAGCAGUGGGGAAUAUUGCACAAUGGGCGGGAGCCUGAUGCAGAAACGCCGCGUGCGGGAUGAUGGCCUUCGGGUUGUAAACCGCUUUCGCCUGUGACGAAGCGUGAGUGACGGUAAUGGGUAAAGAAGCACCGGCUAACUACGUG
rnacentral:rRNA from 1 species